UACGUAGGGUGCAAGCGUUAAUCGGAAUUACUGGGCGUAAAGCGUGCGCAGGCGGUUGUGCCAGACAGAUGUGAAAUCCCCGGGCUCAACCUGGGAACUGCAUUUGUGACUGCACAGCUUGAGUGCGGCAGAGGGGGAUGGAAUUCCGCGUGUAGCAGUGAAAUGCGUAGAUAUGCGGAGGAACACCGAUGGCGAAGGCAAUCCCCUGGGCCUGCACUGACGCUCAUGCACGAAAGCGUGGGGAGCAAACAGG
rnacentral:rRNA from 1 species